rnacentral:snRNA from 1 species
GCCGAAGAGGGGAAAGGUUCCAU